GGGAAGCAUUGAUGCUGCAAGGAUCUAGCAGCUGGAGGAAGAGCUCUUCCUGGCUCCACACAUGCUUUAUCCUGCCAUCUGCUUCUUAAGGUUCAGUUUCCCGGGAAACAAGAGGAUGGACUCACUGGAGUUAUUUCCCAAGCUGUGACAGGAAACAGGGAAAAAUUUACUGACAGUCCUACCACGAUUUCAUGCACUGGGGCAGGGGCCAGACACCAAAGAAAGAUCAAGGAUCUCUUACCAACAGAAGGGAGAAGCAUGGAUGUUGAGCCAUCAAAACUUUCAGACGCCUCCCAUCUCUUCUUUGUACCAGGCAGAUGGUAUUUCUCAGAUGCUUCUGCUAUUGGGCUCAGGUUGAAGGCCUGCCAAUCAGAUGUUGCUGGUGGAAGACUGGAAGGGCCAUUAUUACUUCCAUGGUAACAGGAAGGCACAUGGGCUUCAGCAGAGAGCAGAGAUAAUGGAGAGGUAUCAUGAUUCUGGAGCUCCAGUCUUUCUGCAAAGAAGAAUGAAGUAGGAGUUCAUUAAAAGACCUUUGGAAAACAGGUUACAUAAAAUUAGCAUUAAUAUUAGAGUGGCUAAGGACAUUCACAUAAUGUCAUAAAAUAUUGUCUACUGGAAAAAAGGAGUAUAUCUCUUCAGACAUAUUUAAGAUUCUUAAGCAUGCUUAAUGUGUUUAUAUGCAGAGUUAGUCUUAAUAAUAUGCAAACCAGAAAGACUUAAAUAAGGUACAAUAUUUAUAGACUAAUGUGAGUUUCUAUGUACCCUACAUACUAAAACUUACAGGAGAAAGAGAAUAAAAGUGUUAGUAAGCAUAAUUAAAUAAACAAAUAGGGAAAAGAGAAAUAAGAAUUGUCUCCAACAUUGUGACUACUUCCAAUUCAUUGACAUUUCUUUAGCAUAAAAGCUCAACAAUUUUUAUUACAUUGCUCAAAUUAAUAAUUACAAUUGAUCACUAUUGUGAAUCAGAACACUGUUGAAAAUGUUUGAUCAGAUACACUCUGAUUGUGAUAUAUGAGGUCUUGGGUGAGGAAGAAUAUUAUUAUUCUCCAUCAUUAUAGAAAUUGAGGUACCAAAGGAGAAAAGUGGUCUAUUCAGUAGCCUUAAAUCUUGCUUAUCUCACAUGUCUGAUCAUUAUUGAUAUUGUAAAUGUAUAUAUGUAAUAUUAAUGUUUUUAAUUUUGAGUUUUGCUUUUGGAUUGUUACUCUCUUAAAAAUAGGAAACCUAAGUAUGUAUAAAUUUGGUAUGUUAAACUGGUGAAAUCUAUUAAAAUGCAUUUUCACUAUAUUUUACACAAGAUAUUAGAAACUUGUAUUUGUUGAUGACUUACCAAUUACAAUAGUCAGAAAAUGAAUGAAUGAAAUUACUUCUUAUGAAGCAUCUGUUUUCAUAGCAUUGUGCUUUUUGAGUUUGGCUUUGUUAUCAUCACUGAUAAAAUGUAAAUUUGGAAAUAUAUAUUAUCUAGGAAAUUUUGUAUAUACAAAAUAUAUUCCAGGGUAUUUUAAAAGUAACAUAAAAAUCAGUACUUGAAACUAUAUGAGUGGGAAAAUACGGGGAAAACUCAAGAAAUAGCACUAAUCCUAAAUACUUUAUAGAAGCCCUAGGACAUUAUAAAAAAUGUCAGUAAGCCUAAUAGAUCCAGGAGGGGGCACUGUUGUACUAUUCAUUGAGUUGUGUUGUCUUAGUUCUCUUUUUUUCCCUUCCUUUCUGUAUACACACACAUACACACACACACUUAGAUCAACCCAUAUUUACAAGAACAAACGCAAAAAACUGCAUGAAUUUAUACAACGAGUACUUGUUUACAUGGCAACAUUAUAAUACAAUUUUUAUAUUCAUCAGUUUAAUACUUUAUCAGGCAUGUGGAGUUAAUGAUUUAUUUCAGUAAUUAUU